UGUUGAAGAGACGCAUGAUGGAGAAUGAGCUGGCAGCAAAGGGAGGCGAAAAGCCAAGGAAAAUGUUUACUAUUUUCCUGCUCCCGAAAACUUCCAUCUUACUAAAACUUUGCCAUGUGCCAAGAGCAAUACUACAUAUGGACUGAAGAUGGCAACUUCUGUGAUCCAACGUCUGACUAGGGAUUCGGGCUGCUUCUAAGACUGAGCAUCCUGGCCUAUUAUCCAUUCUAAAGGGACACAUGAGUCUUCUGUAGCUGCCAGGUGGGGACACUCAGCAAGCUCAAUCUAUGCAACUAGGCCACUCUGUCCUGGACCUGCUGAGACUCUCACUUGCGUGCAGGCCAUGAGAUUUGAUUUAUUGUGUUUUUAAAGUGUUCUUAUAACUCAACCAUGUAACCCACAUUCUCAGAUAUUCUGGGAGGAAAAAGUGGCUACAAGGGAAUUUUAUCAUGUAAAAAUAAGGUGAUCAUGUACAAAUAAGCCCAGGAAACAUAUUUCACCCUGGCCCCUGCUCCUAAAGGAAUUCAUUCUAUAUGUUUAGAAUUUAUCACAAAAUGUUCCCAUAUAUGAGGCUGAAAAAGGAUGUCAGCAUAGCCCUGGGAGAAGAGAUCUUCAAUUAAAUACCAUCUUAGACACAAACAAGAAAGCUUUCUAGGAUCAUUUUUAAUGGUGUGCAUACCCCAAUGCUCCCCUCCAUAGGAAAAUUUCUUGA